AUUGAACGCUGGCGGCAGGCCUAACACAUGCAAGUCGAACGGUAACAGAAAGCAGCUUGCUGCUUUGCUGACGAGUGGCGGACGGGUGAGUAAUGUCUGGGAAACUGCCUGAUGGAGGGGGAUAACUACUGGAAACGGUAGCUAAUACCGCAUAACGUCGCAAGACCAAAGAGGGGGACCUUCGGGCCUCUUGCCAUCGGAUGUGCCCAGAUGGGAUUAGCUAGUAGGUGGGGUAACGGCUCACCUAGGCGACGAUCCCUAGCUGGUCUGAGAGGAUGACGAGCCACACUGGAACUGAGACGCGGUCCAGACUCCUACGGGAGGCAGCAGUGGGGAAUAUUGCACAAUGGGCGCAAGCCUGAUGCAGCCAUGCCGCGUGUAUGAAGAAGGCCUUCGGAUUGUAAAGUACUUUCAGCGGGGAGGAAGGGAGUAAAGUUAAUACCUUUGCUCAUUGACGUUACCCGCAGAAGAAGCACCGGCUAACUCCGUG
rnacentral:rRNA from 1 species